GCCAUUUCCUAUUAAAAUCGCCACAGCCUCUCAAUGUGGCAACAGAGACCUCACUGAACUUAGGAGUUUCACACAGGCAUAGCAGACUCCUUAAGUCUAUCUAGAUACCUUACCAGAGACCAUCUUUAAAUAUGAGUUCAACACCUUGUGCAGUGGUGCUAGUAUAUAAGAGGAGUGCCAAUGCUCAGGAGUGAUGUAAAAAAAUAAUGUGUACUACUCCAAGGAGAUCAAUUCAAAAGCCCACACUCCAGCUACCAGUCCAUCUUCCAAAAAACUGAAUAAGUAGUGGAAAAACUAACAUGCAAUUUUUAGAUACGCAAGAAUUAAGAACAUAGAGGAUAUAAGAGUGUCCAAUAGAAUCAUAGAAUCAUAGAAUUACCUAGAUUGGAAAAGACCUACAAGAUCAUCCAGUCCAACCAUCCACCUACCACCAAGAACCCCACUAAACCAUGUCUCUCAACGCUAUAUCUAAAUGUUUCUUGAACACCUCCAGGGACAGUGACUCAACCACCUCCCUGGGCAGCCCAUUCCAGCGCCUGACCACUCUUUCAGAAAAGUAGUAUUUCCUAAUGUCCAGCCUAAAUCUACCCUGGUGCAACUUGAGGCCAUUCCUCCUCGUCCUGUCACUAGUUACAAGAGAGAAGAGGCCGACCCCCCCAGCUCACUACAACCUCCCUUCAGGUAGUUAUAGAGAGCGAUAAGGUCUCCCCUGAGCUUCCUCCAGACUGAACAAUCCCAGCUCCCUCAGCCGCUCCUCAUAAGGCCUGUGCACCAGACCCCUCACCAGCUUCAUCGCCCUCCUCUGAACACGCUCCAGGGCCUCAAUGUCUUUCUUGCAGUGAGGGGCCCAAAACUGGACACAGUACUCGAGGUGCGGCCUCACCAGGGCUGAGUACAGAGGGACAAUCACUUCCCUACUCCUACUGGCAACACUAUUUCUGAUACAAGCCAGGAUGCCAUUGGCCUUCUUGGCCACCUGGGCACACUGCUGGCUCAUGCUCAGCCAAGCAUCGACCAAUACCCCCAGGUCCGUUUCCUCCACACAACCUUCCAGCCACUCUGCCCCAAGCCUGUAGCAUUGCCUGGGGCUGUUGCAGCCAAAGUGCAGGACCCGGCACUUGGUCUUGUUGAACCUCAUCCCACUGGCUUCAGCCCAGAGAUCCAGCCUGUCCAGAUCUCUCUGCAGGGCCUCUCUACCCCCAGGCAGAUUGACACUUCCUGCCAGCUUGGUGUCGUCUGCAAACUUACUGAGGGUGCUCUCAAUGCCCUCAUCCAGGUCAUCAAUAAAGAUAUUGAAAAGGACAGGCCCCAGCACCGAUCCCUGGGGAACACCACUCGUGACCAGUCGCCAGCUGGAUUUAACUCCAUUCACCAAAUAGAACAGAGUAACUCGACUGAUGCAAGGCACAAGCAUGACUUCAGCUUACUUGUGGAGCAGAGGUAUUUCUGAAGACAGGCAAAGGCAGAACAGGAACCAGCUGCAGAGCUGCGGGGAUCAGGAGGCUGCUUUGCCACUCUCUUGUUCCCAGCAGUAGGAUGAGCCUAUGACAUUCGUAGUCAAUAUUUGCAGUGCCAAGCUUUGUAAAUUCGCCUCGGGUGAGAGCUGUGCUAAAGGGGUCGGUCAUGUGCUGCCUGCCUGGUCUAUGCUAUGCAGAGAGCGCUGGGAGCAUCAGCCUCAAUAGCAGGAGGGCACUUUGUUUGCAGGGACCCACUCCUUGUUCUCAGCUACACACUCUGCUCUCAUGCCUCCAUCCAUCGAACCCGAAUCCAAUGCCUUCUCCCAGCAGCACAUGGAAGGGACAAUUGAAACAGCAAAUAAAGUUUGCUUUCUUGAUGCUGGACA
ensembl:lncRNA